GUGAUUUGUGUCCUUAGGAAAACAGUGAAGUUAUCAGUGAAAGAGAAGAACAGACAGAAUGUUUCACAUCAAUGCAGGAAAACAAUGAAGAUAGCAGCCAAAGAGAAGAGCAAACAGAAGAACCCUACACAUUGGCAGAGGACAGAAAUAUCCAUUCCCAUGGAUUAACCGAAGAGCAAAGCUGCAUCUCAAUACUAUCCUUAGCACUGAAACACAACACUACAGGUGUAUUGAUGGAAGAUCUACUGAAACUUCUAAGAUUACAUUCUGCUGGGACAAGUGCAGUUCCUGCA